rnacentral:rRNA from 1 species
GAUGAACGCUGGCGGCGUGCCUAAUACAUGCAAGUCGAGCGAACAGACGAGGAGCUUGCUCCUCUGACGUUAGCGGCGGACGGGUGAGUAACACGUGGAUAACCUACCUAUAAGACUGGGAUAACUUCGGGAAACCGGAGCUAAUACCGGAUAAUAUAUUGAACCGCAUGGUUCAAUAGUGAAAGACGGUUUUGCUGUCACUUAUAGAUGGAUCCGCGCCGCAUUAGCUAGUUGGUAAGGUAACGGCUUACCAAGGCAACGAUGCGUAGCCGACCUGAGAGGGGGAUCGGCCACACUGGAACUGAGACACGGUCCAGACUCCGACGGGAGGCAGCAGUAGGGAAUCUUCCGCAAUGGGCGAAAGCUUGACGGAGCAACGCCGCGUGAGUGAUGAAGGUCUUCGGAUCGUAAAACUCUGUUAUUAGGGAAGAACAAAUGUGUAAGUAACUAUGCACGUCUUGACGGUACCUAAGCAGAAAGCCACGGCUAACUACGU